AUCUUUGUUUUAGUCUCCAUAUAACAUUGUGCAGAGAUUUUUUUGUCAUUUUCCUAUCUGAAAGAAAGAUGAAUGUGCCUUUUAGUUUCUGGAGAUGCGGAGAAAUGUGAUGAGAAGAGGAUAGGAAAACGAAUGUACAGUCUAUCCUCUCUUUAAAUUUGAAAAAGGAGACAGUAGUCCCUACUGGAAGGGGAAGUGUCUGCAAGUCUGAAAGAAUUCCACUAGAGUUACAAGAGCACAGUGAAUGGAAAGCAUUUGUGCAGGACAGAGCUGAGAGUUUAGAGCGUAUCGCAUCCAUGCCUUUUGGUUCACAAUCCAAAGCUUAAUUCCGGCCUAGCUCAUUUCAGUUUCAUUGCCCUGGAAAGGACAUGAAGAGCUGAAGAGCGUAAAAGAUUUUUACACUAACUUUUAAGGCCUCC
rnacentral:lncRNA from 1 species